rnacentral:rRNA from 1 species
AGAGUUUGAUCAUGGCUCAGGACGAACGCUGGCGGCGUGCUUAACACAUGCAAGUCGAACGAGAGGACAAGAGGAGCUUGCUUCUUUUGGAAUCGAGUGGCAAACGGGUGAGUAACACGUAAACAACCUGCCUUCAGGAUGGGGACAACAGACGGAAACGACUGCUAAUACCGAAUACGCUUGGGAGGCCGCAUGAUCUUCCAAGGAAAGGGUGGCCUCUACCUGUAAGCUAUCGCCUGAAGAGGGGUUUGCGUCUGAUUAGGCAGUUGGUGAGGUAACGGCCCACCAAACCUACGAUCAGUAGCCGGUCUGAGAGGAUGAACGGCCACACUGAACUGAGACACGGUCCAGACUCCUACGGGAGGCAGCAGUGGGGAAUCUUCCGCAAUGGGCGAAAGCCUGACGGAGCAACGCCGCGUGAGUGAUGACGGCCUUCGGGUUGUAAAGCUCUGUGAUCGGGGACGAACGGUCCGUAAGCCAAUACCUUAUGGAAGUGACGGUACCCGAAUAGCAAGCCACGGCUAACUACGUGCCAGCAGCCGCGGUAAUACGUAGGUGGCAAGCGUUGUCCGGAAUUAUUGGGCGUAAAGCGCGCGCAGGCGGCUUUCUAAGUCCAUCUUAAAAGUGCGGGGCUUAACCCCGUGAUGGGAUGGAAACUGGAAAGCUGGAGUAUCGGAGGGGAAAGUGGAAUUCCUAGUGUAGCGGUGAAAUGCGUAGAGAUUAGGAAGAACACCGGUGGCGAAGGCGACUUUCUGGACGACAACUGACGCUGAGGCGCGAAAGCGUGGGGAGCAAACAGGAUUAGAUACCCUGGUAGUCCGCACGGUAAACGAUGGAUGCCCGCUGUUGGUCUGAACAGGUCAGCGGCCAAGCGAAAGCAUUAAGCAUCCCACCUGGGGAGUACGCCGGCAACGGUGAAACUCAAAGGAAUUGACGGGGGCCCGCACAAGCGGAGGAACAUGUGGUUUAAUUCGAUGAUACGCGAGGAACCUUACCCGGGCUUGAAUUGCAGAGGAAGGAUUUGGAGACAAUGACGCCCUUCGGGGUCUCUGUGAAGGUGCUGCAUGGUUGUCGUCAGCUCGUGCCGUGAGGUGUCGGCUUAAGUGCCAUAACGAGCGCAACCCCUCUCCUUAGUUGCCAUCAGGUUAAGCUGGGCACUCUGGGGACACUGCCACCGUAAGGUGUGAGGAAGGUGGGGAUGACGUCAAAUCAGCACGGCCCUUACGUCCGGGGCUACACACGUGUUACAAUGGCAGGUACAGAGAGACGGUCCCUUGCAAAACGGAUCAAAUCCUUAAAGCCUGUCUCAGUUCGGACUGGGGUCUGCAACCCGACCCCACGAAGCUGGAUUCGCUAGUAAUCGCGCAUCAGCCAUGGCGCGGUGAAUACGUUCCCGGGCCUUGUACACACCGCCCGUCAAGCCAUGAAAGCCGGGGGCGCCUAAAGUCCGUGACCGUAAGGAGCGGCCUAGGGCGAAACUGGUAAUUGGGGCUAAGUCGUAACAAGGUA